GACGAACGCUGGCGGCGUGCUUAACACAUGCAAGUCGAACGGAAAGGCCCUGCUUUUGUGGGGUGCUCGAGUGGCGAACGGGUGUGUAACACGUGAGUAACCUGCCCUUGACUUUGGGAUAACUUCAGGAAACUGGGGCUAAUACCGGAUAGGAGCUCCUGCUGCAUGGUGGGGGUUGGAAAGUUUCGGCGGUUGGGGAUGGACUCGCGGCUUAUCAGCUUGUUGGGGGGGUAGUGGCUUACCAAGGCUUUGACGGGUAGCCGGCAUGAGAGGGUGACCGGCCACAUUGGGACUGAGAUACGGCCCAGACUCCUACGGGAGGCAGCAGUGGAGAACAUUGCACAAUGGGCGGAAGCCUGAUGCAGCAACGCCGCGUGCGGGAUGACGGCCUUCGGGUUGUAAACCGCUUUCGCCUGUGACGAAGCGUGAGUGACGGUAAUGGGUAAAGAAGCACCGGCUAACUACGUG
rnacentral:rRNA from 1 species